CGGCCUGAGAGGGCGACCGGCCACAUUGGGACUGACAUACGGCCCAGACUCCUACGGGAGGCAGCAGUGGGGAAUAUUGCACAAUGGGCGCAAGCCUGAUGCAGCGACGCCGCGUGAGGGAUGGAGGCCUUCGGGUUGUAAACCUCUUUUGUUUGGGAGCAAGCCUUCGGGUGAGUGUACCUUUCGAAUAAGCGCCGGCUAACUACGUGCCAGCAGCCGCGGUAAUACGUAGGGCGCAAGAGUCCAUCGCUUAACGGUGGAUCUGCGCCGGGUACGGGCGGGCUGGAGUGCGGUAGGGGAGACUGGAAUUCCCGGUGUAACGGUGGAA
rnacentral:rRNA from 1 species